AAAUAGAUACCCGGGUAGUCCACGCCGUAAACGAUGAGUGCUAAGUGUUAGAGGGUUUUCCGCUCUUUAGUGCUGAAGUUAACGCAAUUAAGCACUCCGCCGUGGGGAGUACCGGCCGCAAGGCUGAAACUCAAAGGAAUUGGACGGGGGCCCGCACAAGCGGUGGAGCACGUGGUUUAAUUCGAAGCAACGCGAAGAACCUUACCAGGUCUUGACAUCCUCUGACAACCCUAGAGAGUAGGGCUUCUCCUUCGGGAGCAGAGUGACAGGUGGUGCAUGGUUGUCGUCAGCUCGUGUCGUGAGAUGUUGGGUUAAGUCCCGCAACGAGCGCAACCCUUGAUCUUAGUUGCCAUCAUUAAGUUGGGCACUCUAAGGUGACUGCCGGUGACAAACCGGAGGAAGGUGGGGAUGACGUCAAAUCAUCAUGCCCCUUAUGACCUGGGCUACACACGUGCUACAAUGGACGGUACAAAGAGCUGCAAGACCGCGAGGUGGAGCUAAAUCUCAUAAAAACCGUUCUCAGUUCGGAUUGUAGGCUGCUAACCG
rnacentral:rRNA from 1 species